AUCAUAUGAUGGUUGCAUGGUUUAGCAAUCAAAUCAUAAAAAGAUUUACCAUUUGUCUGAUGUAUCU